CGCCUUUCGUCACGAACGCCGGCGCUCCCUGGUCCAGCUGCCGCUCUCCUCCGUCACCACCUCGGGUGCUUCCUGUCAGGCCAAGGCUCCGCUUCGCAGUCGCUGCUCUUCCUUCCCUUCAUUUCGAAUCGGUCGCGGAAGUGGCCGAGGAGGCCCUCGAGCUCGCAUGCUCGCGCCAGCGCUAGGCGCCGGCGGAGGCAUACGCGGAGGCGUGGCACUCGCACGCGCCUUCUCUACCCCGCUCCUUCUCCGAAUCCGUUUGCCGAAGUGCUCGAGGAGGCGCUCGAGCUCGGCAUGCUCGCGUGCGACGCCGGGCUUCUCGCUCCUCCUGAUGUCGUCGCUGUCGCCGUCGCCGCCAUGAGCCUCUUCACCCUCUCUCGCGCGGUCGUCUAGGUCCAGAUUGCUGCACCUUCUGGUUGUGAGUGGAUCCAAGAAUUGACAUGAAAGAAAGGAAGUUGGAGAAGUUACUAUUGAAGAGAAAUUCACUGUCAUGUAGUUCUCAAGAGCUAAAAUGGAACAACAAGUGCAAGCCUCUCAUUCCUACACUAACUAAUCAGAUUUCCCGAGGGAUAAGGAGUUGCCGAAAGGGGAUGGGAGCAACAAGUCUGAAUCGAAGAGUAUGUUUUGAUUCCGAGCUGCAUUGCCCAGUAUUUUUAUUGUUCUAAGAGAUCCAUGGAGUUGUCUAUGGAACAUUUCCUUGAUGUGAUAGGCAUAUUUGUUUACCACAUUCAGUUGUUGGCCCUGCUGUUGACGUCCAUGGUGGCGCUGAUGAUGAUCUUGGCAAGGGUAAUGCUUUGAUUUCAUAGAACUGUUGCUUUGUAGCUAGAGAAUUAAUUUCUCAAGAGGACUUUGUGAUUUAGUGUUCUUAUGGUAUUUCAUAGAUCUGGUAAUAUAAAAGUAGUAUUUAAUUCUGGUUAUGUAAUGACCGACCGUUAUCUUGCUUCUUACACAUGUAUCUUCAGAUGGGGUAAUGAACUUCUCUUCUUUCUCCUCAUGUAUGUUCAGAUUUUAUGUAUCUGCCUGGGGCCUUGGUAUGUCCUUGAGCACGCAUCAGGUAUGUAUGUAUGUAUCUGUUGGUAUAUUAGUGCAGUUUAUAGUUCAUUCCACGCAUGUCCCUGAAACAAAGAAUUUUAGACAUCUCAAGUAGCAUAUUACAUGGUUUGGUGGGUCAUACGUGAUUUAAUAGAAAGCACCACCACAGCCUUGUGUGUGCUUGUAUAGCUACAUG